rnacentral:misc_RNA from 1 species
GAUGAAGAACGUAGUAAAAUGCGAUAAGUAAUGUGAAUUGCAGAAUUCAGUGAAUCAUCGAAUCUUUGAACGCACAUUGCGCCCCUUGGUAUUCCGAGGGGCAUGCCUGUUCGAGCGUCAUUAUAACCCCUCAAGCUCAGCUUGGUGUUGGGGCCUGCUGCACUGGCAGCCCUUAAAAUCAGUGGCGGCGCCAUCUGGCUCUAAGCGUAGUAAUUCUUCUCGCUAUGGAGUCCUGGUGGAUGCUUGCCAUCAACCCCCAAUUUUUCUAUGGUUGACCUCGGAUCAGGUAGGGAUACCCGCUGAACUUAAGCAUAUCAAUAAGCGGAGGA